rnacentral:rRNA from 1 species
AUGCUAGCAAAAUGGGCAAUAUAUCUGGAGAGGUUUAACUAUCUCAUCGUGCAUAAAUCUGGAAUAACUAACAGAGUGGCCGAUGCUUUGAGUCGUCGUGCAUGCCUCUUGACUUAUUUUGAAGCUGAACUUCCGGGCAUGGAUCAAAUAAAGGAGUUGAAUGAGGGUGACGAAGACUUUGGCCAUGUUUGGGUAAAGCACGCAAGGGGCCAACCAUUAGGUGAUGACUAUUUGAUGCAAGAUGGAUAUCUCUUCAAAAAUGAUCGUUUGUGCAUUCCAAGUUCUCUACGUGACAAGCUGGUUAGAGAGCUCCAUUCAAGUGAUCUUAGUGGCCAUGUUGGACGGGACAAGACUAUCGCUAAC